UCAAGGAUAAAAAAACAAUUUUAUCUUUAAUCUCCAAAAUUAAAAUUUUAAUUAAACUAAUCCUUG
rnacentral:tRNA from 1 species